GAGAGCCUGGACGAACCCUCUCCCGUAAACCUAGCGCACCAGGUCCAAUCCACUCCGUCCUCGAGCCCCACGCCAUUCUUCUUCCUCUCCGCGCCGUCCGGCCUCCCCUGCUCCACGACCCUCUGCCUCAGGGCCUCCCGCACCGCCGCCUUCUCUUCCGGGCCUCUUCUCUGGCGCUCGAGAUGCAGCCGGGGCGACCUCCUCCUCUUCCUCUCCUCCUUCCCUGCCUCCGGAUCUAGACAAGUGAAAUCUGGAGGGGAGACGAGUAAAGGGCGACGGAGGCGGCACUCGAGCAGAUGAGAGGGAGAGAGAAGGAAGAAGAGGCGGUGCUCGAGCAGAUGAGAGGGAGAGAGAGGUAGGUGCAGCAAGGCGACGGACGGGAGAGGGGCGAAGGCGAGCUCCAGCGCGAGCGCGUGGACCCGUCACCCACGCCGGCGAGGUCCUCGGCCCCGAGCUGUGCCUCUACCACCGCGAAGGGGACUGCUGCGACCACGCUCGUGCGCACACACACUGUGCCGUCUCCAGGUGCCAGUUGAAGUUACUGCCGGGCUUUAUUGCCCUCCUCUAAUUUGGUGUUGUGGGAGAAAGAAGAAGAGCAGGCAUGUUCUCUGUUUCUACAUCCAGCGUCCACACGGCUAGAUCGACGGGUCUAAACUCUUGAAUACAGAAAGAAUAAGCUACUAGCAUUCCUAAUGUGCAAGUAAACCUACUGGGAUUAUGACUGCAAAAAAAAUUCAUGACAUAUGUUGAAGUAUGGCCUUGAAAGGUAAGUUGAAUGGCUGGAGAUGCUCAAAAGAUGUAACAAAGAGAGAAGAUAAGAGGGAGAGAGAGAAGGAGAAGAGGGAGUACUCGAUUCGAUCUGCAGGAGAGAGAGAAGAUAAGAGGGAGAGAGAGAAGGAAGGAGAGGAGGGAGAACUCCGUUGCCGCCGCGUGCCGUACUUCUGGAUCGAGCGCUGCCUGACCAAGGGAUAAGAGUAGGAGGAUGAGUGGAGCAGCUGCUGAAGCAGGCGCGGCGCUGGUGCGCUGCUGGCGAAGCGGUGGUCAACGGUGCCGUCGACGUCGUCCUUGGCAGAAGGUAAGCCUAGAUCAAUCUCACAAUAUUCCUUUGUCGUCUGUGUUCUUAUGCAACUUAGUGAUUGGACUUUCUCUGUUAUGUUUCACAAAUUGCUACUUUUAGUUAUCCCCAUUGGCUUGUGCAUAUGCUUCUGCUGGGUCGUUCUUGUUUAUUUUCUCUAUCCAACAUUGUGGCAGGUUGGUGUUUCCUCUCUUUCUCACUGCAGCUACCUAUGCCUCUAUUAUUCUAGGAUUUUGCAAGUUAAAUACUCAUGUGUGCUGAACUGAAAAGUUCUCUAUGCAACAUCUAUUGCAGGUUGGUGUUUCCUACCUAUGCCUCUAUUAUUCUAGGAUUUUGAAAGUUAAUUGCUCAUGUGUGCUGAAUUGAAAAGCUCAAUGAAAGGCACUUAUUUCUACGCACAAAUGCUUUUGUUGCUAUAAGAAUCUGUAGAGAAGAAAUAUAUAUGUCUCCUCCGUUCAUUGCCCUUUUUUUGCGGGUAGUUCAUUGCCAUUUUGGAUUCAUAUGUGAAGUCUAUUGUUGUUAAUUACAGUUAACUAAUUUAUUAAUUCAUGGUUGUUUUAGUUGCUGACCAUAUGAUUGGUAGCCUUGGACAGAAGAGGGCCAGCAACAAACAUAAGCAAUCACUGUCCUGUCCAGAACAUGUAUAUCUUCAGUUUUGGUUGCCUUCCGUUUACUUGCCAACAAGCGACACUGAGCUCACAUAUUUACUGUUUGCUUUGUUAUAUACUUAAUCUACUAGACAAAGUGUAAAAUGGAAAUUCAUGCUCGACAAUUUUGUAUAUUUAUAAACCUAGAUGCUACUCUAAUUGGUUUUACUUCUUCUAUAUAUUUUCUCCUGUUGGUGUGUAUAAAUAGUGCACAAAGUUAGUUUCUUUUCCUUCUCGACCGCAUCUAAUUUUAAAGAAAAUAGAGAGGAAUCUAAGAGAUACACAACCAGAAGAACUUUGUUUCUUUGACUUUUCGGCUGUGUCUAACUUUGGUAAAAGAGAGGAAUUUGAGAUAGAUAGACAACCUGAAGAGCUUUGAACAGCUUUGAACGUUCAAGUAUGCUGCCGGCCUCCUCGCCGCUGCUGUCGCGUGGCUGGCACCAGUGUGUGGCAGCUGCUGAGAUGGGCGCAGUUUACUCCGGGUUCGGUGAUGGUGUUGAAAAGCACCUUAACUGAGCCAAGGAAUUUAGUAGCAUUGUGGGAUGAUUAACCAAUUUUUUUUCUGUUUCCUAUACUAUCUUCUCAUAUUAUAGUUUUGGUGUCCUGGUAGGCAGGGAUCAACUUUGGUGGCAUCCGAUGCUGGCAGGCCACGGGGUUAGAGCAGAGGAAGCUGACAUGGUGUUCGAAAUUCAGAUGGUCAUUGUGAUAGAAGAAAGUGCAUAAAGAAUGAACAAGGAAAAGCUACAGAUUGAUAUGUCCAGGUUACAAAUUUUUCUACCUCCACCCCAUAUUCCCACUUAUGGUUUAGUGAAGAGUAUGAUUUCUCGCUUGGGAGGAUGCCAUGCACAAGAUAUGCAUUUGUUUCCAAUGCAUUUUCAUUAUAUUUGCUUUGGUUUAAGUUAUAAAGCAACCUUCUAGAGCAGAUCAUUUUUGAUGGAUAUAUGACGACAGGUCUGCGAUUGUAUUGUCAAAAGCAAACCUAGGGUAUUUGAUGUUUCCAUGUAGUUUUAAAACAACCUCCUAGCACUUUCAUUUUAGAUAGAUAUAUAAUGGUACGAGAUUGACCAUGUCC